GAGGUUGUGAGUUUGAGUCUCCCCAAGAGCAAGGUGGGAAGUUCUUGGAAGGAAAGAUGCCGGGGGUCUAUUUGGAAACAACCUCUCUACCCUAUGGUAGGGGUAAGGUCUGCGUACAUACUACCCUCCCCAGACCCCACUAAGUGGGAUUACACUGGGUUGUUGUUGUUGUUUAAUUCUCAAUGAAUCAGAAAUUGCUCAUUUUUGUAAACUGAAAACUUAAAGCAUCAGAGAAUGGAUUCAAU
rnacentral:lncRNA from 1 species